rnacentral:lncRNA from 1 species
ACGUCUGCAUCUUGAAGUGUACUUGAUAAAAUGAAAGCAAUACAAGUGCUUCUCGCAGUUUUUCUUUUAUCAGCUAUGGUAGCAAUUGGUAAGUACUUUUUAUUCAAUAUAUUAUUGAUAUAUUUGCUUUGCAUUAACUUGCAGUUAUUUUGUACUUCAUGUUAACACUAAUAAAUGUAUUUUGGAUCUUUAUUUGCAUUGACUUGCAGUAAUCUUGUAAUUCAUGUCUACAUUGAUAAAUGCUUCUGGAUCUUUAUAUCAUCUAAAAGUUUAAACAAUCCAGUAUGGUGUUGUUUUGUACAUAACGGUAAUAGGAAAAGUUCACGUUAGAAGACUUCCGAUGUUCUUGAAGCAAAGAUUCUGGUUACUAACGUUGUUGAUCAUCUUGAUAACAUAAAUAACUGUAGCAAUUUGGUUUAACGAAAGCUUUAUCCUGUAACAAAACACAGUACUACAACAAAUGAAACUGAGAAUGGAAAUGGGGAACGUGUGAAGGAGACAACAACCCGACCAUAGAGCAGACAACAUAUUUUUAUUUCCAUUUUUUCAUUUUAAUUUGCAUUGAAGGUAACACAGCACCUUGCUUUACAAGUGGAGGAUUUUGUACACCGUUCAAAUGUCCUAGAGGUUACUAUUGUGAACACAGGUAUCUCCAUGAGGAUUGUUUGCCCCCACACAAUUGUUGCGUCCGGGG